GCAAGUCGAGCGCACCUUCGGGUGAGCGGCGGACGGGUUAGUAACGCGUGGGAACAUACCCUUUUCUACGGAAUAGCCAUUGGAAACGAUGAGUAAUACCGUAUACGCCCUUCGGGGGAAAGAUUUAUCGGAGAAGGAUUGGCCCGCGUUAGAUUAGAUAGUGGGUGGGGUAAUGGCCUACCAAGCCGACGAUCAGUAGCUGGUUUGAGAGGAGGAGC
rnacentral:rRNA from 1 species